AAUAGAGUCUGGGCAAAAAGGGAAAGAGCUGAUGGGGAGGACAGGGCAAGACUGAUUAGGGAUGAAGAGAUUGGUGCGAGGUUUAUGAGGAGAAGUAUGGUAUGAAGAGAAGACUUCUCCUUCGUUUCGCAAGCGGGGAGAGCAGGGCCGAGUGAGGGUCGACAGGGCGACCAGCGAAGCGGCUGAAGCGAGGGUUGGCCCAGCUGAUCGGGUGAUGCUGUGUUGCCACAUUUUCGUGUUGAUUUUCCUGUGCGAUGCUACUUUCGUGCUUGCGUUGCUACCGGGAAUAGAUCGUAGGUGCGUGGCAAUGCUUAGUUACGCGUACUUAUAUACACAAAAAAAAGAAAAGAAAUUUAAUUGCUACAUUACAAAUAAUAUAACCCGAUCUAAAUGAACUAUGAAUGCAUUUGACUAUUGAUAAAUAAAUGUGAUUAUAGGUAUAUGUUUGUGUGCGUAAUCAAUGUGUCAAAACAGUGUCAAGUCGACUGAUCACAUGGAAAGUUUCGGUCAGCCAAGCAUUACGCGUAGCAGGAAAUAUAAUGUAAAGUACACUAUCAUUUGUAUGUAUCAUUAUACUCAGCAUACAGUAUUAGUACGUAUGAAUAAUAAACCGGCCUUAAUACCCAAAGCUAUAUGAGAGCAGAACUUUAAUAAACCGGUGUGUUUAUAUGGCACAACUUUUCAGCCUGCCUUAUGACGUCAGAGCACUGAGGGAUAUAUAAAGGCAGUCAGCGGCAGGUCUCUUGCACCAUUGGAAGCGAGACAUCUGCAUCCAGAAGCAGCUCUUAUUUAAUAAGAACUUCCACUGAACAAUCAUUUUGUGUUUGUUGAAAAAUCUUCGACUUAAACUGACGCCUACACCUCGCUUCACUGAGGAAGCAUUGUCACGAGUUUCGCAGAGAAGCCCGCUUCCGCAAACACAAUGAAGCAGUUCGACAAAGCCGAUCCUAGCUCACUGCUUUCGCAGAUGCAGCGGAGAUCCACGCCUGUGACCAAGGAAUCCCGAGAGAGCUCCCCCAACCUGACGCACUCUAUCAAGGGCCUCUGGGGCUCCUGGAUGAACGCCGGAAGCGAUUCUGUGGGACACCAGAAGAGAAUCGUUUACCCAGGGACGUGGAACCAAGAUCUAACAUUGUCGAGAAGUUAAUAAACGGAAAACUUCAUCAUCGACUACGAUGACUAAAAAGUAACCGAAAAAAGAGCCGGCAUGACGCCUGGCUGUAAUCUGUGGGAAGUCUGUGCACUUCUCGAAGGCUGCCGGUCGAGUAAUGAGGAUCUCCCAGUGAAUAGCCGAAUGAAAAUAAUAACCCGAGCGAGAAGAAAGGCCCGAAGGAGGAUCAUGCAGUGCGCCUGAGCAUAACCAACAUGGAUUUUUUUAAUGCGGCGCCCUUGUCCUCAAAAGAUUAUUUUCUACUCUCUAUUACUAUGGCAGAAAAGAUUGCUGAAAAAUCAUGUACGAUAAUUUGUGCAUCGAUAGUGUUGUAUCACAUUCGCUUAGUUGUCAAUGUUAUAUUUCUGAUAUUCAUUUAUAUUAAAUGUGUAAUGUAUGAUACCAUGUAAUACGACUGAUUUUUUGUUUUACUAGUUUUAUUUUUGCACAAAUGUGCUUCCAUACUUCUGGCUAUUAUACGGUCAAAUAUAAUAGAAGCAAC